UACGAAGGGGGCUAGCGUUGUUCGGAUUUACUGGGCGUAAAGCGCACGUAGGCGGAUCGUUAAGUCGGGGGUGAAAUCCUGGAGCUCAACUCCAGAACUGCCUUCGAUACUGGCGAUCUUGAGUCCGGAAGAGGUGAGUGGAACUCCUAGUGUAGAGGUGGAAUUCGUAGAUAUUAGGAAGAACACCAGUGGCGAAGGCGGCUCACUGGUCCGGUACUGACG
rnacentral:rRNA from 1 species